rnacentral:rRNA from 1 species
GCAGCCGCCGCGGUAAGACAGAGGAUGCAAGCGUUAUCCGGAUUUAUUGGGCGUAAAGCGAGCGCAGGCGGUUAGAUAAGUCUGAAGUUAAAGGCUGUGGCUUAACCAUAGUACGCUUUGGAAACUGUUUAACUUGAGUGCAGAAGGGGAGAGUGGAAUUCCAUGUGUAGCGGUGAAAUGCGUAGAUAUAUGGAGGAACACCAGUGGCGAAGGCGACUCUCUGGUCUGUAACUGACGCUGAGGCUCGAAAGCGUGGGUAGCAAACAGGAUUAGAUACCCGUGUAGUCCCUGUCUCUUAUACC